rnacentral:rRNA from 1 species
AACGACUCUCGGCAACGGAUAUCUCGGCUCUCGCAUCGAUGAAGAACGCAGCAAAAUGCGAUACUUGGUGUGAAUUGCAGAAUCCCGUGAAUCAUCGAGUUUUUGAACGCAAGUUGCGCCCGAAGCCAUUCGGCCGAGGGCACGUCUGCCUGGGUGUCACGC